GCCCUACUGGCGUAGUGGAAGCGCGUAUGACUUCUAUGGAUUAGAGGUAUCAUAAGGUCGCGAGUUCGAAUCUCGCGUGGGGUU
rnacentral:tRNA from 1 species